GAUGAAGAACGUAGCGAAAUGCGAUAAGUAAUGUGAAUUGCAGAAUUCAGUGAAUCAUCGAAUCUUUGAACGCACCUUGCGCUCUUUGGUAUUCCGAAGAGCAUGCCUGUUUGAGUGUCAUGAAAAUAUCAACCUUGACUUGGGUUUUGUGCUCUAGUCUCGGCUUGGAAUUGGGUGCUUGCCGCUUUUACGAGCGGCUCACCUUAAAUGUAUUAGCUGGAUCUGUCUUUGAGACUUGGUUUGACUUGGCGUAAUAAGUAUUUCGCUAAGGACAUUCUUCGGAGUGGCCUCGUUUCUAGGACGCUUGUCCGCUUUCCAAUACAAGUUCCACCUCGUGGACAUGACUUUUUAUUAUCUGGCCUCAAAUCAGGUAGGACUACCCGCUGAACUUAAGCAUACAAUAGCGGAGGA
rnacentral:misc_RNA from 1 species